rnacentral:rRNA from 1 species
AACAUAGCCUUUAGCCCUACAAGUAUUAAAGGUCCCGCCUGCCCAGUGACUUUUUAAACGGCCGCGGUAUCCUAACCGUGCAAAGGUAGCAUAAUCACUUGUCUUUUAAAUAAAGACUAGAAUGAACGGCUAAAUGAGGACCAAGCUGUCUCUUAUGGUUGGUCAAUGAAAUUGAUCUUCCAGUCCAAAAGCUGAAAUUUUUACAUAAGACGAGAAGACCCUGUGGAGCUUAAAAACCCCUACAACAACAUGCUUGCUGGUUUUUUAGUUGGGGCGACUUUGGAGUACAAAUUAACCUCCAAAACACAACCUAUUUAUAAGAUAAACACAUCAAAAUAAAUGUUCUAGACCCAGAAACCACUUUCUGAUUAAUGAACCAAGUUACCCCAGGGAUAACAGCGCCAUCCCCUUCAAGAGUCCCUAUCGACAAGGGGGUUUACGACCUCGAUGUUGGAUCAGGACACCCAAAUAGUGCAGCCGCUAUUAAAGGUUUGUUUGUUCAACAAUUAAAGUCCUACGUGAUCUGAGUUCAGACCGGGGAAAUCC